rnacentral:rRNA from 1 species
UACAUGGGGUGCAAACGUUGCUCGGAAUUAUUGGGCGUAAAGCGCACGUAGGCGGUUUGUUAAGUCGGAUGUGAAAUCCCUCGGCUCAACUGAGGAAGUGCAUCCGAAACUGGCAGGCUUGAGUACUGAAAGAGGUCGCGGAAUCCGGUGUAGAGGUGAAAUUCGUAGAUAUCGGGAGGAACACCGGUCGGCGAAGGCGGCGACC